UUCGGCAGCGUAUUUACGAACAAUUCCACAGAUUCCGAAGUGUUUUCUCAACGGCAUGUCCAUCCGUUGACGCAUCGUCGACGAUGAUUACAUUCCUACGAGCUUGUUGAGCUACUAAAGACGAUAAUCUAUCGAGCGCAAUGUCCUUUUGAAAUGCUGAUUCGGAGGACUUCGUCGUCGGGUACAGGAUGCAAACCACGAUAAACGGCACCCAAUUGAAUUUGCAAGAAGCUGUCGAGCUUCAACAGGAGACCCUUUUCGAUGUCGUAAUGGAGGCCGCGGACGGCGAAAU